GACGAACGCUGGCGGCGUGCCUAAUACAUGCAAGUAGAACGCUGAAGGAGGAGCUUGCUUCUCUGGAUGAGUUGCGAACGGGUGAGUAACGCGUAGGUAACCUGCCUUGUAGCGGGGGAUAACUAUUGGAAACGAUAGCUAAUACCGCAUAAGAGUAGAUGUUGCAUGACAUUUGCUUAAAAGUUGCAAUUGCAUCACUACCAGAUGGACCUGCGUUGUAUUAGCUAGUUGGUGAGGUAAAGGCUCACCAAGGCAACGAUACAUAGCCGACCUGAGAGGGUGAACGGCCAAACUGGGAAUGAGACAAGGCCAAGAAUGAUACGGGAGGCAGAAGUAGGGAAUCUGCGGAAAUGGAAGGAAGUAGGAACGAGAAAAGCGGAGUGAGUGAAGAAGGUUUUGGGAUCGGAAAGCUCUGUUGUAAGAGAAGAAAGAGUGUGAGAGUGGAAAGUUCACACUGUGACGGUAUCUGACCAGAAAGGGACGGCUAACUACGUG
rnacentral:rRNA from 1 species